rfam:Triticum aestivum genome assembly, contig: Triticum_aestivum_CS42_TGACv1_scaffold_542496_6DS
AUGCUACUUCCUCCGUUCGGAAUACUUGUCGCAGAAUUAGAUGUAUCUAGACGUAUUUUAGUUCUAGAUACAUCCAUUUUAUUCAUAUUUGUGACAAAUAUUUUGGGACGGAGGAAGUAUUUA